GCUCCUGUGGCCUAGUGGUUAGAGCGUCCGCCACGGAUGCGGGAGGUCGUGGGUUUGAUCUUAAGCCGAGUCAUACCAAAAGAC